UACGGGGGGGGCAAGCGUUGUUCGGAAUUACUGGGCGUAAAGGGCUCGUAGGCGGCCAACUAAGUCAGACGUGAAAUCCCCAGGCUCAACCUGGGAACUGCGUCUGAUACUGGAUGGCUUGAAUCCGGGAGAGGGAUGCAGAAUUCCAGGUGUAACGGUGAAAUGCGUAGAUAUCUGGAGGAAUACCGGUGGCGAAGGCGGCAUCCUGGACCGGCAUUGACGCUGAGGAGCGAAAGCCAGGGGAGCGAACCGG
rnacentral:rRNA from 1 species